AACUUUUAAAGGAUAAUAGUUAAUCCANUGGUCUUAGGAACCACCCAUC
rnacentral:tRNA from 1 species